UACGUAGGUGGCAAGCGUUGUCCGGAUUUAUUGGGUUUAAAGGGUGCGUAGGCGGCCCUGUAAGUCAGUGCUGAAAUAUCCCAGCUUAACUGGGAGGGUGGCAUUGAUACUGCGGGGCUAGAGUACAGAAGAGGUAGGCGGAAUUGACGGUGUAGCGGUGAAAUGCUUAGAUAUCGUCAAGAACACCUAUAGCGAAGGCAGCUUACUAGGCUGUAACUGACGCUGAGGCACGAAAGUGUGGGGAUCAAACAGG
rnacentral:rRNA from 1 species